GCUGGGUACAGUGGUGCAUGCCUAUAAUCCCAACAGCUCAGGAGGCUGAGGCAGGAGGAUUGCUGGUUCAAUGCCAGCCUCAGGGAAAGUGAGGCGCUAAGCAACUCAGUGAGACCCUGUCUCUA
rnacentral:sRNA from 1 species